UACGUAGGGGGCAAGCGUUGUCCGGAAUCAUUGGGCGUAAAGCGCGUGUAGGCGGCUCGGUAAGUCUGCUGUGAAAGUCCAGGGCUCAACCCUGGGAUGCCGGUGGAUACUGUCGAGCUCGAGUCCGGAAGAGGCGGGUGGAAUUCCUGGUGUAGCGGUGAAAUGCGCAGAUAUCAGGAGGAACACCAAUGGCGAAGGCAGCUCGCUGGCACGUGACUGACGCUGAGACGCGAAAGCGUGGGGAGCGAACAGG
rnacentral:rRNA from 1 species